GACGAACGCUGGCGGCGUGCUUAACACAUGCAAGUCGAACGGAAAGGCCCUGCUUUUGUGGGGUGCUCGAGUGGCGAACGGGUGAGUAACACGUGAGUAACCUGCCCUUGACUUUGGGAUAACUUCAGGAAACUGGGGCUAAUACCGGAUAGGAGCUCCUGCUGCAUGGUGGGGGUUGGAAAGUUUCGGCGGUUGGGGAUGGACUCGCGGCUUAUCAGCUUGUUGGUGGGGUAGUGGCUUACCAAGGCUUUGACGGGUAGCCGGCAUGGGAGGGUGACCGGCCACAUUGGGACUGAGAUACGGCCCAGACUCCUACGGGAGGCAGCAGUGGGGAAUAUUGCACAAUGGGCGGAAGCCUGAUGCAGCAACGCCGCGUGCGGGAUGACGGCCUUCGGGUUGUAAACCGCUUUCGCCUGUGACGAAGCGUGAGUGACGGUAAUGGGUAAAGAAGCACCGGCUAACUACGUG
rnacentral:rRNA from 1 species